AUUGAACGCUGGCGGCAGGCCUAACACAUGCAAGUCGAACGAGUGGCGGACGGGUGAGUAAUGUCUGGGAAACUGCCCGAUGGAGGGGGGUAACUACUGGAAACGGUAGCUAAUACCGCAUACCAUCGGAUGUGCCCAGUUGGGAUUAGCUAGGCGGUGGGGUAACGGCUCACCUAGGCGACGAUCCCUAGCUGGUCUGAGAGGAGGACCAGCCACACUGGAACGGAGACACGGUCCAGACUCCUACGGGAGGAAGCAGUGGGGAAUAUUGCACAAUGGGCGAAGGCCUGAUGCAGCCAUGCCGCGUGUAUGAAGAGGGCCUUCGGGUUGUAAAGUACUUUCAGCGAGGAGGCGUUACUCGCAGAAGAAGCACCGGCUAACUCCGUGCCAGCAGCCGCGGUAAUAC
rnacentral:rRNA from 1 species